rnacentral:piRNA from 1 species
UCUAAAGCAGUGCACUGAGUUCCUCACACC